rnacentral:rRNA from 1 species
AUGUCGGACGUGACGGCGGUGAUGGAUCUGGAGGUGGAGGAGCCGCAGCUGGCGCUUCCACCGGGGUUCCGGUUCCACCCCACCGACGAGGAGGUGGUCACCCACUACCUCACCCGCAAGGUCCUCCGCGAAUCCUUCUCCUGCCAAGUGAUCACCGACGUCGACCUCAACAAGAACGAGCCGUGGGAGCUCCCGGGCCUCGCGAAGAUGGGCGAGAAGGAGUGGUUCUUCUUCGUGCACAAGGGUCGGAAGUACCCGACGGGGACGCGCACCAACCGGGCGACGAAGAAGGGGUACUGGAAGGCGACGGGGAAGGACAAGGAGAUCUUCCGCGGCAAGGGCCGGGACGCCGUCCUCGUCGGCAUGAAGAAGACGCUCGUCUUCUACACCGGCCGCGCCCCCAGCGGCGGGAAGACGCCGUGGGUGAUGCACGAGUACCGCCUCGAGGGCGAGCUGCCCCAUCGCCUUCCCCGCACCGCCAAGGACGAUUGGGCUGUUUGCCGGGUGUUCAACAAAGACUUGGCGGCGAGGAAUGCGCCCCAGAUGGCGCCGGCGGCCGACGGUGGCAUGGAGGACCCGCUCGCCUUCCUCGAUGACUUGCUCAUCGACACCGACCUGUUCGACGACGCGGACCUGCCGAUGCUCAUGGACUCUCCGUCUGGCGCUGACGACUUCGCCGGCGCUUCGAGCUCCACCUGCAGCGCGGCCCUGCCGCUUGAGCCGGACGCGGAGCUACCGGUGCUGCAUCCGCAGCAGCAGCAGAGCCCCAACUACUUCUUCAUGCCGGCGACGGCCAACGGCAAUCUUGGCGGCGCCGAGUACUCACCCUACCAGGCUAUGGGGGACCAGCAGGCCGCGAUCCGCAGGUACUGCAAGCCGAAGGCGGAGGUAGCGUCUUCGUCGGCGCUGCUGAGCCCUUCGCUGGGCUUGGACACGGCGGCGCUUGCCGGCGCGGAGACCUCCUUCCUGAUGCCGUCAUCGCGGUCGUACCUCGAUCUGGAGGAGCUGUUCCGGGGCGAGCCUCUCAUGGACUACUCCAACAUGUGGAAGAUCUGA